rnacentral:rRNA from 1 species
UAACACAUGCAAGUCGAACGGCACCACGGAGGGCAACCCUGGUGGCGAGUGGCGAACGGGUGAGUAAUACAUCGGAACGUGUCCUGUAGUGGGGGAUAGCCCGGCGAAAGCCGGAUUAAUACCGCAUACGCUCUACGGAGGAAAGGGGGGGAUCUUAGGACCCCCCGCUACAGGGGCGGCCGAUGGCAGAUUAGCUAGUUGGUGGGGUAAAGGCCUACCAAGGCGACGAUCUGUAGCUGGUCUGAGAGGACGACCAGCCACACUGGGACUGAGACACGGCCCAGACUCCUACGGGAGGCAGCAGUGGGGAAUUUUGGACAAUGGGGGCAACCCUGAUCCAGCAAUGCCGCGUGUGUGAAGAAGGCCUUCGGGUUGUAAAGCACUUUUGUCCGGAAAGAAAACGCCGUGGCUAAUACCCGUGGCGGAUGACGGUACCGGAAGAAUAAGCACCGGCUAACUACGUGCCAGCAGCCGCGGUAAUACGUAGGGUGCAAGCGUUAAUCGGAAUUACUGGGCGUAAAGCGUGCGCAGGCGGUCCGCUAAGACAGAUGUGAAAUCCCCGGGCUUAACCUGGGAACUGCAUUUGUGACUGGCGGGCUAGAGUAUGGCAGAGGGGGGUAGAAUUCCACGUGUAGCAGUGAAAUGCGUAGAGAUGUGGAGGAAUACCGAUGGCGAAGGCAGCCCCCUGG